GUAGGUGGCAAGCGUUGCCCGGAAUUAUUGGGCGUAAAGCGCGCGCAGGCGGUUCUUUAAGUCUGAUGUGAAAGCCCACGGCUCAACCGUGGAGGGUCAUUGGAAACUGGAGAACUUGAGUACAGAAGAGGAAAGCGGAAUUCCACGUGUAGCGGUGAAAUGCGUAGAGAUGUGGAGGAACACCAGUGGCGAAGGCGGCUUUCUGGUCUGUAACUGACGCUGAGGCGCGAAAGCGUGGGGAGCAAACAGGGAUUAGAUACCCUGGUAGUCCACGCCGUAAACGAUGAGUGCUAAGUGUUAGGGGGUUUCCGCCCCCUUAGUGCUGCAGCUAACGCAUUAAGCACUCCGCCUGGGGAGUACGGCCGCAAGGCUG
rnacentral:rRNA from 1 species